GGCGGAAUAGCCGAGAGGGCUAAUGCGUUUUACUUCAGACUAACUCCAGGACUCCGGGGGUCACUGGUUCGAGCCCUGGUAUCGGCG
rnacentral:tRNA from 1 species